rnacentral:rRNA from 1 species
GAUAAACGCUAGCGGCAGGCUUAACACAUGCAAGUCGAGGGGCAGCAUAGAUUGUAGCAAUACAAUUGGUGGCGACCGGCGCACGGGUGCGUAACGCGUAUGCAACCUACCCGUCACAGGGGGAUAAUCCGGAGAAAUGUGGUCUAAUACACCAUAACAUAUGGAUCGGCACCGGUUCAUGUUGAAAUUUUCGGAGGUGACGGAUGGGCAUGCGUAGCAUUAGCUUGUUGGUGAGGCAACGGCUCACCAAGGCGACGAUGCUUAGGGGGACUGAGAGGUUUUCCCCCCACACUGGUACUGAGACACGGACCAGACUCCUACGGGAGGCAGCAGUGAGGAAUAUUGGUCAAUGGGCGCAAGCCUGAACCAGCCAUGCCGCGUGCAGGAUGACGUCUCUAUGAGUUGUAAACUGCUUUUGUACGAGGGUAAAGUGGGUUACGUGUAACCUUUUGAAAGUAUCGUACGAAUAAGGAUCGGCUAACUCCGUGCCAGCCGCCGCCGUAA